rnacentral:tRNA from 1 species
GGUCUGAUGGCUACCGCUUCUGCUUCAUAAGCAGAAGGUCAUGGGUUCAAUCCCAGUUCCGUCCC